rnacentral:sRNA from 5 species
UGUAUCUGAAGCCUGACGAGGAUGAGAACCUCCGGGGGCAAGAGGUUCGACCCGAGCGAAGCGAGAGAACGUUGCGUCAGCAACGGCCCGCAGGGCGAGCCAUCCUCUAUCACUGGCAG